rnacentral:rRNA from 1 species
AGCCAGGCCGCCAGCGGCGCUCGCAAAGUUCGGAUCCGCAAGGACCGGGCCAGCGGGACGUCCGCGUGGCAGGGUGCACUUUCUCCGCGGUCGAGUGCUACGACCGGUUUCGAGGCGGUCACAAGCCCGGCGGAAAGGUAGCGCCGCCCCUCGGGGUGUCGUGUUAUAGGCCGCCGCGGUGGACUCGCCGCGAGACCGAGGACGCUUGCCGCGCCGAGCGGUCCCGGGCCGUCUGGGGAGGUUCGACCUCGGCUGCACUGCUCCGCAGAGCACCGUAACCGCCGCCCUAGCACGGGUCCGGAGACUGCCGGCGCCUCGGGUCAGUAGCG